UCUCAUUUUACCUUGUUUUUAUUUGAUCAGGUCAGUGAGAGAGCAUAUGCCCUGGUAGAUUCCUGAGAAAAGGAACAGGAGGAUGAGAGGUUCAAUGUUUUACACAUUGCUGGUCUGAUAUCUCAGCUUCAUUCACAGAAGAGCUGCAUUGCUCUCAUUAAGCCAGAACAACCAUAGGAGUCUGCCAUUCCUAGCAUGGUAUAUCAGAAAGGACUCUGGAAGGGGAGUGUAGUCUGAACUCAGGGGCUUUCGCACCAUUCACCUUGGGCAUGACUCACACCUAUCCAGGCCUCUGUAGUAACCUGGAUCUGCUUAUCCUUGAGCACAACCUGAACCUCUCCCACGUGAGGACCUCUCAGAGAGACCAUGCCACAGAGUGAUUCCAACAUAAACUCCGGAGCCAGCCCAACCGGGUCUCAAUCUCCGCUCCAGCAGCUAUAAGCUGUAGGAUCUUGGAGAAAUUACAUAUCAUCUCUGUGCUUCAUUUUGCUCAUCUGUAAAUAGGCUAGUAGUAAUAGCAGCUGCCUUAGAAGUCUGUUAGGAGCUUUAAAUGAGUUAACAUUUGUUAUCUUUGGAGAAGUGCCUGGCACACAGUAAGUGCUCCCUGAAUGUUUGUUAAUAAAUAACUUCCAUGUCCCUCCAAUGCUUCUCACUCUCCUUUUUCUCUUCUUUCUUCCUCUGUGCUA